GUGAUGUCGGUGUGCAGGUCCGCCUUGCAGCGGAAAGCCUAAAGCAUCACGGUCGGCUCCACCUGAACCUUUGGUUCAAGGGCGAAAGCCGGUAACGGCACAGAUGGGAGACGC
rnacentral:sRNA from 1 species